rnacentral:lncRNA from 1 species
CGAACUCGCCCACUGACAACGUGUGGGUUGCUUGACAGGGAUUGGUUACAGGUUACUUCGAGGGUCAAGGACUGAUGACUUGAAGUUGUAUGUUUUAAGGUCAGUCGUCGUACAUAGUUAGAUACUAAUGUAUGUUUUACUAUUGGUUAAACUCUCGUACCUCAUCAGAACCCCAAAUAUAAGCUUGUUAUACUCAAAUGUUUGUAAACAGAGUAAAUGUAAACAAACACGGUAUAUAUCCUAAAAUCAUAGUUAAAACUAGAAUUUUGAUAUCAUGGAUGGUCAGUCCUUGCAUACAUAUCUCUUGCUUUGAAUUUAUUAAGAGUGGUUACAUUUCUCCAGGCCCAUCCCUCAGCUUUUUACCAAAACACAGGUGGGGUGCCCGCUUAGUUAUUGUUUCAAUUAAGGAUUCCAGCUUUUCAAGGGGAAAUACAAUUAAACCAACCAUGGAAGAUUCCAGCUUUAAAGAGAAAAUACAUUGAAACCAACCAUGGAAGAUUCCAGAUUUAAAGAGGAGAUACAAUGAAACCAACCAUGGAAGAUUCCAGAUUUAAAGAGGAGAUACAAUUAAACCAACCAUGGAAGAUUCCAGAUUUAAAGGGGAGAUACAAUGAAACCAACCAUGGAAGUAUAUUGUAGUGAAUUCGGUGGGUAGCCCCAACCAAGAUUAGAACCCGGGUUUAGCAACUAUCAAGCCAACACCUUAACUGUUCCGCCAAGUUCAGUAUUUACGCUAUUGGUUAUGGUGAGCAGUGGAGAGAAUCUUCCUCUUAACGGACCAUAAACCUAAUCAAUCGAUCAGAUGACUCUAUCCCUGUUCCUCUGCAGCAGAGGUCCUCCCAGUCUAUUGAUCGAUCAAUCAAUCAACCGAUGGAUCAGAUGCCUCAAUCUCCGUUUCUCUGUAAAAGAGGUCCUCCCAGUCCAGAGCUGCUGCUCUGCCGCCAUCUGGUGGCGUGAAGUGGUGUUGCAACAAGAUAAGUACAGUAAUGCAGACCAGACAGAACCUAUUGGUCCCAAAUGACACCCUAUUCCUUACAUAGUGGAACUACAUGCCCUGGUCAAAGUAGUGUACUAUGUAGGGAAUUCAUUAGGGUUGGAACUAGGGUACUAUGUAGGGAAUUCAUUUGGGUUGGAACUAGGGUACUAUGUAGGGAAUUCAUUAGGGUUGGAACUAGGGCACUAUGUAGGGAAUUCAUUAGGGUUGGAACUAGGGUACUAUGUAAGGAAUUAAUUUGGGUUGGAACUAGGGUACUAUGUAGGGAAUUCAUUUGGGUUGGAACUAGGGUACUAUGUAGGGAAUUCAUUUGGGUUGGAACUAGGGUACUAUGUAGGGAAUUAAUUUGGGUUGGAACUAGGGUACUAUGUAGGGAAUUCAUUUGGGUUGGAACUAGUGCACUAUGUAGGGAAUUAAUUUGGGUUGGAACUAGGGUACUAUGUAGGGAAUUCAUUAGGGUUGGAACUAGGGCACUAUGUAGGGAAUUAAUUUGGGUUGGAACUAGUGCACUAUGUAGGGAAUUAAUUUGGGUUGGAACUAGGGCACUAUAUAGGGAAUUCAUUAGGGUUGGAACUAGUGCACUAUGUAGGGAAUUCAUUAGGGUUGGAACUAGGGUACUAUGUAGGGAAUUCAUUAGGGUUGGAACUAGGGCACUAUGUAGAGAAUUCAUUAGGGUUGGAACUAGGGCACUAUGUAGGGAAUUCAUUAGGGUUGGAACUAGUGCACUAUGUAGGGAAUUAAUUUGGGUUGGAACUAGGGCACUAUAUAGGGAAUUCAUUAGGGUUGGAACUAGGGCACUAUGUAGGGAAUUAAUUUGGGUUGGAACUAGGGUACUAUGUAGGGAAUUUAUUAGGGUGGUAUUUGGGUUGGAACUAGGGCACUAUGUAGGGAAUUCAUUAGGGUUGGAACUAGUGCACUAUGUAGGGAAUUCAUUAGGGUUGGAACUAGGGUACUAUGUAGGGAAUUCAUUUGGGUUGGAACGAGGGCACUAUUUAGGGAAUUCACUAGGGUUGGAACGAGGGCACUAUUUAGGGAAUUCACUAGGGUUGGAACUAGUGCACUAUGUAGGGAAUUCAUUUGGGUUGGAACUAGGGCACUAUGUAGGGAAUUAAUUUGGGUUGGAACUAGGGCACUAUGUAGGGAAUUCAUUAGGGUGGUAUUUGGGUUGGAACUAGGGCACUAUGUAGGGAAUUCAUUAUGGUGGUAUUUGCCUUGAUGACAGCUUUGCACACUCAAGUGCAGUCGUGAAAACCAUCAAGCACUAUGAUGAAACUGGCUCUCAUGAGGACCACCACAGGAAAAGAGCCAGAGUUACCUCUGCUGCACAGGAUACGUUUAUUAGAGUUAACUGCACCUCAGACUGCAGUGCAAAUAAAUGCUUCACAGAGUUCAAGUAACAGACACAUCUCAACAUCAACUGUUCAGAGGAGACUGUGUGAAUCAGGCCUUCAUGGUCGAAUUGCUGCAAAGAAACCACUACUAAAGGACACCAAUAAGAAGAAGAGACUUGCUUGGGCCAAGAAACAUGACCAAUGGACAUUAGAUCGGUGGAAAUCUGUCCUUAAGUCUGAUGAGUUCAAGUUUGAGAUUUUUGGUUCCAACCGCUGUGUCUUUGUGAGUUGCAGAAUAGGUGAACGGAUGAUCUCUGUAUGUGUGGUUCCCACCAUGAAGCAUGGAGGAGGAGGUGUGAUGGUGUGGGGGUGGUUUGCUGGUGACACUGUCAGUGAUUUAUUUAGAAUUCAAGGCACACUUAAACAGCAUGGCUAAUAAAAUGUACAUAUCUUGCAUUACUCAUCUCAUAUGUAUAUACUGUAUUCUAUACUAUUCUACUGUAUCUUAGUCCGUUCCGCUCUUACAUUGCUCAUCCAUAUGUAUAUAUUCAUAAUUAAAUCCUACUUAGAUGUGUGUGUAUUGGGUAUAUGUUGUGUAAUUUGUUAUAUAUUACUUGUUAGAUAUUACUGCACUGUUGGAGUGAGAAGCACAAGCAUUUCGCUACACCUGCAAUAACAUCUGCUAAUCACAUGUAUGUGACCAAUACAAUUUGAUUUGAUUUACCACAGCAUUCUGCAGCGAUACGCCAUCACAUCUGGUUUGCGCUUAGUGGGACGAUCAUUUGUUUUUCAACAGGACAAUGACCCAACACACCUCCAGGCUCUGUAAGGGCUAUUUGACCAAGAAGGAGAGUGAUAGAGUGCUGCAUCAGAUGACCUGCCUUCCACAAUCCCCCGACCUCAACCAAAUUGAGAUGGUUUGGGGUGACUUGGACCGCGGAGUGAAGGAAAAGUAGCCAACAAGUGCUCAGCAAAUGUGGGAACUCCUUCAAAACUGUUGGAAAAGCAUUCCAGGGGAAGCUGCUUGAGAUAAACCCAAGAGUGUGCAAAAGAAUCAAGAAGAAUCAAAAAUAUAUUUUGAUUUGUUUAACACUUUUUUGGUUACUACAUGAUUCCAUUUGUGUUAUUUCAUAGUUUGUAGGUGUUUUAGAAAAUAGUAAAAAUAAAGAAAAACCCCUGAAUGAGUAGGUGUGUCCAAACUUUUGACUGGUACUGUAUAUGUAACCUUUUCACAAUUGAGCUAAUCUAAAGACAAAUGGGAAAUACAUUAAACUUGAACUUGAAAACCAGAAGGACAAAAAAAAGAGAGAAUACCCCAAAUGUAAAAGCAUGGAUUUUUAUUUAUUUUUAUGAAACAUAGGACAUCAACAUAAUGUCACCUAACCCCAACAUAAUGUCACCUUAUUCCCUACAUAAUGUCAUCCUAACCCCUACAUGAUGUCAGCCCAACCCCUACAUGAUGUCACCCUAACCACUACAUAAUGUCACCCUAUUCCCUAAAUAAUGUCACCCUAUUCCCUACAUAAUGUCACCCUAUUCCCUACAUAAUGUCCCCCUAACCCGUACAUAAUGUCUCCCUAUUCCCAACAUAAUGUCACCCUAUUCCCUACAUAAUGUCACCCUAUUCCCUACAUAAUGUCCCCCUAUUCCCUACAUAAUGUCACCCUAUUCCCUAA